rnacentral:rRNA from 1 species
AGAGUUUGAUUCUGGCUCAGAAUGAACGUUGGCGGCGUGGAUUAGGCAUGCAAGUCGAAUGCGAACGAACCCGCAAGGGGACAAGUAGCAUGGCGAAAGGGGCAGUAAUACAUAAGCAACCUACCCUCAGGUCUGGGAUAUACGGUGGAAACGCCGGGCAAUACUGGACGCCGUUAUCGGACGACAUCGACCGAUAACGAAAGGUUACGCCUGGGGAGGGACUUAUGACCUAUCAGUUAGUUGGCGGGGUAACGGCCCACCAAGACGACGACGGGUAGAGGGUGUGAGAGCACGACCCUCGCCACUGGCACUGAGACACUGGCCAGACUCCUACGGGAGGCUGCAGUCGAGAAUCUUCGGCAAUGGGCGAAAGCCUGACCGAGCGACGCCGCGUGGAGGAAGAAGGCCCUCGGGUUGUAAACUCCUGUUGGGGGGGCUCAAUCAAUGAGAUAUCCCCUGAGGAAGCACGGGCUAAGUUCGUGCCAGCAGCCGCGGUAAU